rnacentral:lncRNA from 10 species
AUAGCAGCAUUAAUAGUAAUAGCCCCGAAUUUGAAGUGAACCAAAUGUUAGUCAACAGUAGAAUGAAUACAUUGUGGUAUAGUUGUAUCUGGAAUACUACACAGCAAUGACAAAUGAUUAACUGGAUGCAAUAACAUGGGUGAACCUCUCAUCUCCAGAUUACUUAUAAUAUCUAAUGCAAGGUAAAUGUUAUAUAAAUAAUUGUUAUAUUGUAUUGUUUAGGUAAUAAUGGCAAGGAAAAAAGUCUGUGUAUGUUCAGUGCAGACACAACCAUUCAUUUUUUUCCUGAAUAUUUUCGAUCCUUGGUUGGUUCAAUCCUCGGAUGCAGAACUGUGGAUA